AUUGAACGCUGGCGGCAGGCCUAACACAUGCAAGUCGAACGAGUGGCGGACGGGUGAGUAAUGUCUGGGAAACUGCCUGAUGGAGGGGGAUAACUACUGGAAACGGUAGCUAAUACCGCAUACCAUCGGAUGUGCCCAGAUGGGAUUAGCUAGUAGGUGGGGUAAAGGCUCACCUAGGCCACGAUCCCUAGCUGGUCUGAGAGGAUGUCCAGCAAAACUGGAACGGAGACACGGUCAAGACUCCGAGGGGAGGAAGCAGUGGGGAAGAUGGCACAAUGGGCGCAAGCCGGAGGCAGCCAUGCCGCGGGUAUGAAGAAGGCCUUCGGGUUGUAAAGUACUUUCAGCGGGGAGGCGUUACCCGCAUAAGAAGCACCGGCUAACGCCGGGCCAGCAGCCGCGGUAAUAC
rnacentral:rRNA from 1 species